AUUUCUUUAGUACAACCAGUACAAAUGACUUCCAAUCAUUUAAUCUUGGUUAAACCCCAAGAAGAAAUA
rnacentral:tRNA from 1 species